GUCAUAGGUCAGUGGCAGAGCACCUGCCUUACAUGCAGAAGGUUCCUGGUUCAAUUCCUAGUGUCUCCC